rnacentral:ncRNA from 1 species
GUUUCUUUGCCGCCGGGUAAAGAAAUCUAGGCGUCAGCUUUCCUAUCGUUAGGCCAUUGAAGAUAGGAAGUGCUGGCGCUUUUGUUUU